rnacentral:rRNA from 1 species
UUUAACGGCCGCAGUAUUUUGACUGUGCAAAGGUAGCAUAAUCAUUAGUCUUUUAAUAGGGGGCUGGUAUGAAGGGUUUGACGAGGUGUUUACUGUCUCAUUUAAUUUGUAUUUAGAAUUUAACUUUUCAGUUAAAAGGCUGAAAUGAUAUUGGAAGACGAGAAGACCCUAUAGAGCUUUAUAAUUAAAACUUUAAUUAUUUUUUGUUUAUUAUUUUUUAUUAUUAUUUUAAUUAUUUUGUUGGGGUGACAAAAAUAUAUAAUUAACUUUUUUAUUUAAUUAACAUUGAUUUAUGAUUAUUAGAUCCAUUACUAGUGAUUGUUAGAUUAAGUUACCUUAGGGAUAACAGCGUAAUCUUCCUUCAGAGUUCAUAUUUACGGGAAGGCUUGCGACCUCGAUGUUGGAUUAAGAUAAUAAUUAGGUGUAGCCGCUUAAUAUAUAGGUCUGUUCGACCUUUAAAUUCUUACAUGAUCUGA